GUAUGUGAAGAGGGACAUCCGAUAAAAUUGAAAUGAUACAAAGAAGAUUAGCAUAUGGCCCGUGCCCAAGGAUGAGACGCACAAACCAAAAAAAAGAAACUGCUAAC
rfam:Hordeum vulgare subsp. vulgare, WGS project CAJW01000000 data, contig: morex_contig_94450